UCAUUAUAUUUCUCAUCCCUUCCUCUUCUUUCUUAGCAGGUCUUAUCUUGCAAACUGCAGAUGGCUGCAUCUGAUGAGCUAUCAAAACCAGGUGAUCUAGUGCUUCUAAGACUGACUGACGAAGUUAUAAAGAGAAAGCUUCAAUGUGUUGACACCGCUUUGAUUCUCUGUAGAAGCAAGAUGGAGAUGAUAUCCCAUCAGUCUGUGGAAAAUCAGCAGGACAUGGUUUGCAGAGGAUUUCUGUCAUCAUCAAGCAUUCAUCUACCAUUUCUUAAGAAAACAACACACAGAUGCUAUCAUGUCUUCAUGGCAAAAAUCUCUACCAAGAAAGCAAUUCAGCAUAGCACACUUGUGUGACAAUUUAUGUAGCCAGAAUGUUCUCAGUCCCUCAUUGCUGCACUAUGGGCUCCAAAGAGAAGACCUGUGAGCACUGCAGUGCAGAGUCUUCACCUUUCUCUUUUGAAUUCAUGUAUGUCCUGCAAAUCUUCAGUAUCAAAAUAUAAUAAGCUAAAAUUUGUAAAACAUCAUGUAAAAGCAGCAUAAGCUUUCAUGACUCUGGGGAUGUGAACACCUUUUAAGAAAAAACCACCAAACAUAACAACAAAACACAAAGAAAAAAACA